UGGGGAAUUUUGGACAAUGGGCGAAAGCCUGAUCCAGCAAUGCCGCGUGUGUGAAGAAGGCCUUCGGGUUGUAAAGCACUUUUGUCCGGAAAGAAAUCCUUGGCUCUAAUGCAGUCGGGGGAUGACGGUACCGGAAGAAUAAGCACCGGCUAGCUACGUGCCAGCAGCCGCGGUAAUACGUAGGGUGCAAGCGUUAAUCGGAAUUACUGGGCGUAAAGCGUGCGCAGGCGGUUUGCUAAGACCGAUGUGAAAUCCCCGGGCUCAACCUGGGAACUGCAUUGGUGACUGGCAGGCUAGAGUAUGGCAGAGGGGGGUAGAAUUCCACGUGUAGCAGUGAAAUGCGUAGAGAUGUGGAGGAAUACCGAUGGCGAAGGCAGCCCCCUGGGCCAAUACUGACGCUCAUGCACGAAAAGCGUGGGGAGCAAACAGGAUUAGAUACCCUGGUAGUCCACGCCCUAAACGAUGUCAACUAGUUGUUGGGGAUUCAUUUCCUUAGUAACGUAGCUAACGCGUGAAGUUGACCGCCUGGGGAGUACGGUCGCAAGAUUAAAACUUAAAUGAAUUGACGGGGUCAUAGCUGUUUCCU
rnacentral:rRNA from 1 species